rnacentral:rRNA from 1 species
UACGUAGGGUGCAAGCGUUGUCCGGAAUUAUUGGGCGUAAAGAGCUCGUAGGCGGUUUGUCGCGUCUGCUGUGAAAACUCGGGGCUUAACUCCGGGCCUGCAGUGGGUACGGGCAGACUAGAGUGCGGUAGGGGAGACUGGAAUUCCUGGUGUAGCGGUGAAAUGCGCAGAUAAUCAGGAGGAACACCGGUGGCGAAGGCGGGUCUCUGGGGCCGAAAAUUGGACGCUGGAGGAAGCGAAAGCGUG